rnacentral:rRNA from 1 species
AACGAACGCUGGCGGCAUGCCUAACACAUGCAAGUCGAACGAGACCUUCGGGUCUAGUGGCGCACGGGUGCGUAACGCGUGGGAAUCUGCCCUUGGGUGCGGAAUAACAGUUAGAAAUGACUGCUAAUACCGCAUAAUGACUCCGGUCCAAAGAUUUAUCGCCCAGGGAUGAGCCCGCGUCGGAUUAGCUAGUUGGUAGGGUAAAAGCCUACCAAGGCAACGAUCCGUGGCUGGUCUGAGAGGAUGAUCAGCCACACUGGGACUGAGACACGGCCCAGACUCCUACGGGAGGCAGCAGUGGGGAAUAUUGGACAAUGGGCGAAAGCCUGAUCCAGCAAUGCCGCGUGAGUGAUGAAGGCCUUAGGGUUGUAAAGCUCUUUUACCCGGGAUGAUAAUGACAGUACCGGGAGAAUAAGCCCCGGCUAACUUCGUGCCAGCCGCCGCGGUAAGAC